rnacentral:rRNA from 1 species
GACGAACGCUGGCGGCGUGCUUAACACAUGCAAGUCGAACGGAAAGGCCCUGCUUUUGUGGGGUGCUCGAGUGGCGAACGGGUGAGUAACACGUGAGUAACCUGCCCUUGACUUUGGGAUAACUUCAGGAAACUGGGGCUAAUACCGGAUAGGAGCUCCUGCUGCAUGGUGGGGGUUGGAAAGUUUCGGCGGUUGGGGAUGGACUCGCGGCUUAUAAGCUUGUUGGUGGGGUAGUGGCUUACCAAGGCUUUGACGGGUAGCCGGCCUGAGAGGGUGACCGGCCACAUUGGGACUGAGAGACGGCCCAGACUCCUACGGGAGGCAGCAGUGGGGAAUAUUGCACAAUAGGCGGAAGCCUGAUGCAGCAACGCCGCGUGCGGGAUGACGGCCUUCGGGUUGUAAACCGCUUUCGCCUGUGACGAAGCGUGAGUGACGGUAAUGGGUAAAGAAGCACCGGCUAACUACGUG